AUGCUGCCAGCGUGACGUAUAAUCUAGUGGAUGGAACACUGCAACAUCAACGAGUCUGCCACCUUGGUAGCCAACAGCUGAAACAUUUAGACUGCAUCUGUGCAUAUUUUCCUCUUUGUUUUAAAUAUACUUCUGACAUCUAGUUAAUUGCCCCCAUUUAAAUGUUAUACGUACAUUGUUAGUCAACUAGCUGGCUUUAUAAGUUAGCCUAGCGCUAAACUAGUCGCUCAUGCUAACAACUAGCUAGCUAACGUCUCCGACCAUGAGCUCACUAAGCUACUCUCCUCCUGCUAAAGAAGAGGGGGUCUGCUGGACGGAGAAAUAAGCUCUGGGCUGAACGUUGUCGUGAAGAGGAGGAUGUUACAGUAAAACAAGUAGAGGGCGAGGCUGUUACAGUGAAAGAAGAGAAAGAUGUUUCAAUGAAAGAAGAGGAUGUUACAGUAAAAGAAGAAGAGGAAGGGAAAGAGGAGGAUGCAGUUUAAGUGAAUGAGGUGAAAGAGGGAGAGAGAACUGUCGUAUUGACAGAGGAGUCAGGAGAUCUGUUUACCACCGGAGAGAGACCAGACUCUGACAGAGGGAAGAGUUCCUCAGAGGAAACAGACCCGGAGACGCCUAACCAACACCACUGCUCCCACUGUGGAAAGAGUUUUAGGUGGUCAGGGAGUCUGAAAAAGCAGAUAUGUUUUGAUGUGAGAGGAUGCCAAUCCCCAGUCCCAUCAUCGCCACCUCACCUGCUUUUAAGAUAACCUUUGGGCCGACUAGAGACACUAUUAUGUAAUUGUGAUGAACUGAGAGAAUAUUUAGCUGCCUUCCCUGCUCCUAUGCACAUUUAUUUGCCAAGGAUGCCGGUGGGCGGAGUUGAGAGGGUCGUCAGCUACAUGGGAAACACCUGGGCCCAGGUGUUUCCCAGGAUAAAUACACCCCUUCCCCAUUCAUGGAGGAGACUCUCUCCAUGCAGACAUUUGUAGAUUGUGUUGUGGUUCUUGGUGGCCUUUUUGUUUGUUUGCUUUGGCACUUUUCAACACCCUGCAUUAUCACAUUCAUGCAUACAAAACACUCACUUACGCUACUGAUUACACACAUCAUUGUAUAUUUUCCUUCAUUGCUUUAGUUAAUAAAUAUAUAUUUUGUUACUCCUUAUCUCUACGUUGUCUCCCUUUGUUACGGGCUUUGAGCCGGUUCGUGACAUGAGCCAAUAAGAGGAGUUACUGUAGGUGUGACGUAAGAAUGACAAAUGAAUAAAACGUGUGUGCUGGAAGGCCGUUGUCCGGCCCGGCUUUUAUUAUGUAAUUAAGUAAUAAAAAGUCAAUUUGAACUCACAUGCUCCGGUAUUUGUGAUUUGUGAAUUAACUUUAUGAUUAAAAAAAUGCAUAAUCGUUUGUCUCUACAUUAACUAAGAUGCGAUGGAACGGUUGACGAAAAAUGAAACCACAGAAAAAAUAGCGAGCGUUACCGAGCGUUACCCUCUCGUCAGAAUAUGACGAUGUGCGACUUUAAGGCA